rnacentral:lncRNA from 1 species
GGACAUUCCUUUGGGAUUAGAGGGAAUCAACUUAGGGCAUGGUGAGGAGCGAAAACGCAUAACACUUUAGGCUUCUUCCUUGUUCUUCACCAUUUUCUCUCCUUUCACUCUUGUAUUUCUUUAUUUUGUAAGGUCUUUCAUGACAAUGAAAAGCUAAAUCGCCCAUUGCUGAGAAGCUUGGUGCACUAAACACUCCAAGUGACUUAGGCUUUUUUACUAGAGGAAUCUUGAU